rnacentral:rRNA from 1 species
GACGAACGCUGGCGGCGUGCUUAACACAUGCAAGUCGAACGGAAAGGCCCUGCUUUUGUGGGGUGCUCGAGUGGCGAACGGGUGAGUAACACGUGAGUAACCUGCCCUUGACUUUGGGAUAACUUCAGGAAACUGGGGCUAAUACCGGAUAGGAGCUCCUGCUGCAUGGUGGGGGUUGGAAAGUUUCGGCGGUUGGGGAUGGACUCGCGGCUUAUCAGCUUGUUGGUGGGGUAGUGGCUUACCAAGGCUUUGACGGGUAGCCGGCCUGAGAGGGUGACCGGCCACAUUGGGACUGAGAUACGGCCAAGACUCCUACGGGAGGCAGCAGUGGGGAAUAUUGCACAAUGGGCGGAAGCCUGAUGCAGCAACGCCGCGUGCGGGAUGACGGCCUUCGAGUUGUAAACCGCUUUCGCCUGUGACGAAGCGUGAGUGACGGUAAUGGGUAAAGAAGCACCGGCUAACUACGUG